GCCGCCUUAGCUCAGCUGGUAGAGCGCCACUUUUGUAAAGUGGAUGUCGUCAGUUCGAAUCUGACAGGCGGCUCAA
rnacentral:tRNA from 1 species